AUCCUUAUGCUCGGGAAUUACGCAUAUCAGUGAGGACUCGUCCGAGAUUGUGUAUUUGCUGGUUGAAAACUUCAACUACGACCUCUCCUUUUUGUCCUUUUUGCGACUUUAAGGGAAUUUUUGGACUCUUUUCCU
rnacentral:snRNA from 1 species